rnacentral:lncRNA from 1 species
GAUCAUAAAAAUCUGUGGCUUAUUCAAUACAACAUUUUACUUGAGAAACAUUCCCCCUGGGAUUUGCAGCUUGCAAAUGCUGUUGUCAGCCACGGUCUCAGUAUGAGCAGGGCAUGCUAGAGGGAUCAGUAAAUCCUGUGGAGUAGUUGAUGAACCAGCUGACAGGGAAUGCCCAGCCUGCUGUGCAGCAGCAUUUCUGCUGUCCUCUGUGUAAAACAAGAGCACAUAGGAAUGUUAGCACCAAAGCAGCAGAAUUGCUGAAACACUGAUCUUUCAGAGCAAGACUUCUCAUCUCAACACGCCCCAACACUAAGAUGCAGCUGGGCACCAGACUCUGGAGAUGGGCUGGACUCCACUGGCACUGAAAUGUAAAGACAGCACAGUCAAAAGAGAAGAGGCGAACUGAAAGCUAUCUCUGUAUAUAGACUGUCCAACAGCAAUGCAGAGUGGGCAAGGCACUGGAGGGCUGACAUUCCCCAUGAAGGAGAGAGCAUUCAAGCAUGCUAAAAAUAGAUCCUUCUUGAGAAUGAGGUUGGGCAGCUGCCUCCCUUACUGCCACCCCUUAUGAUAUAAAUGCUUCUCCCCAUACUCUGUGAUUACUGAAGAGCCUGAGAGGGCACAUGCAGUUUGAGUAGUUGAAUUAAGAAACAAUGACUAAAGAAUGCAAAUUUCUGACUCCUUGAAAAUGCCCGUGUAAUGUCUGAGUCUUAGUGACCAUUCAUCCUAUGGAAAUGAGCAUAAGAAUGUCUAUAUCAAGGUCUUCUUAGACCAAGAUCUUGACAUUGACAAAGAAGAGAUGCCCAAUUACAUGAACAUAGCAAGUGUAUAGUGAUGUUUGCUGAGAAUAUCCCCAUAGCCCUUCUGACUUGUUGCUUUUAGAUGUAAUAUAAAAUAAAUUCUUUUCUUCUAUUGAUGUGACCAUUUCCUGGAGUUGUGCAGAAUACAGCCGUGGUCAAGAAGUUAAACACUUUAUGUGCUACCCAGGUGCAAAACCUAAUGUAUUCUGUAGCAAAAGUUCUCCAUCUUGUGAUACAGUUAAAUAAAGACAAACACAGUUCUUCAAUUCUAUCAUGGAGAUUUGACUGAGAUUAAAAUGGAGACACUGUUUUUGUUAUUUCUCAGAAGGCCCAGUGAUUGCUGACACUAAAAGAGAUUUUUCCACUACACUGCAGGUAUAAUAAUGGCCCAUUGUACACAGGAGGGUCUUCAGUCACUGCUAGAAGUGGAGGUUUGUUCAGAUUCAUAGUUGAAGUACUUUUGGAAGCUCUUGCCCCAGAUAAUUUAGUGUUGAAGUUGUCACUACUGCAUCCUACAAUGCUUCUGUUCACCACAAAAUGCCGCAUCAGCGCUGGAGAAAAUGGCAAGUCCUCAGCUGAGAUGCCCAUGUGGAAGUCCUGCCAGAAUCUGUCCUGCAGCACAGGGCUUGUUAACAUGCCCAGGAAACAAUCCGCACAUUGAAUGGCUGCUUGGAUUGUUUGGGAACUGUUUGAGUGUCAUAGAAUACACUAAACAGUGGAUUAUCUGCAUAUCAAGGAAGUUUGGCACCUACAGAGUUUGGCUUCCACAUAAUGCAAAGCAUUCAGGCUGCUUCUAGCACAAGCCAAGGGCUCAGUGUGGUAGGCGUGAGGCAUACGCAGAGAUGAACCAGGACAGAGUACGGACUAGAUGCUGAAGGAAGGGGUUUGCCCUAAGACCGCUUCUAUGUAGAGAAGAAAAUGCUGGAAUGCUGUUUCUUGGGUUGUGAGUGUCACAUUUCAGGUGACAAGAAAGAGCCCUUUCCAGGCUUUGUGUAGUUUUGCGAGGGAGUGCAUGUACAUGUGAGAGCACAUGUGUCUGUGCAGCCAAAUACAGGGCUGCCUGCACACACUCUUGCAUCUCCUACAGCCUUGAGCCAAGUGCUCUCCCACUUUCCUGCUGCCUGCACUGUCAGCCAACGGAGAGCUCAGCAUCCUUGUGCCAGUGUGUCUGUGUUUUGCUCUGAACAGUGCACUGUCACCAUCCUUUUCUUUGGACAUCUGUUCUUUUCAUGUGAACCUGGAAAAUGUCCCAGAUGAAUAAGGCCUUUA